rnacentral:rRNA from 1 species
GGAUGCGAUCAUACCAACACUAAAGCACCGGAUCCCAAGUUAAGCGUGCUUGGGCGAGAGUAGUACUAGGAUGGGUGACCUCCUGGGAAGUCCUCGUGUUGCAUCCC